rnacentral:rRNA from 1 species
GACAUAGGUGGCGAACGUUAUCCGGAAUUAUUGGGCGUAAAGGGUGCGUAGGUGGCCAGGUAAGUCUGAUGUGAAAUCUCGGAGCUUAACUCCGAAACUGCAUUGGAUACUAUCUGGCUAGAGGGUCGGAGGGGAGACUGGAAUUCUCGGUGUAGCAGUGAAAUGCGUAGAUAUCGAGAGGAACACCAGUGGCGAAGGCGAGUCUCUGGACGACUCCUGACACUGAGGCACGAAAGCUAGGGGAGCAAACAGG